UGAACACGGAGCUUGCUCUGUGGGAUCAGUGGCGAACGGGUGAGUAACACGUGAGCAACCUGCCCCUGACUCUGGGAUAAGCGCUGGAAACGGCGUCUAAUACUGGAUAUGUGACGUGACCGCAUGGUCUGCGUUUGGAAAGAUUUUUCGGUUGGGGAUGGGCUCGCGGCCUAUCAGCUUGUUGGUGAGGUAAUGGCUCACCAAGGCGUCGACGGGUAGCCGGCCUGAGAGGGUGACCGGCCACACUGGGACUGAGACACGGCCCAGACUCCUACGGGAGGCAGCAGUGGGGAAUAUUGCACAAUGGGCGAAAGCCUGAUGCAGCAACGCCGCGUGAGGGAUGACGGCCUUCGGGUUGUAAACCUCUUUUAGCAGGGAAGAAGCGAAAGUGACGGUACCUGCAGAAAAAGCGCCGGCUAACUACGUGCCAGCAGCCGCGGUAAUACGUAGGGCGCAAGCGUUAUCCGGAAUUAUUGGGCGUAAAGAGCUCGUAGGCGGUUUGUCGCGUCUGCUGUGAAAUCCCGAGGCUCAACCUCGGGCCUGCAGUGGGUACGGGCAGACUAGAGUGCGGUAGGGGAGAUUGGAAUUCCUGGUGUAGCGGUGGAAUGCGCAGAUAUCAGGAGGAACACCGAUGGCGAAGGCAGAUCUCUGGGCCGUAACUGACGCUGAGGAGCGAAAGGGUGGGGAGCAAACAGGCUUAGAUACCCUGGUAGUCCACCCCGUAAACGUUGGGAACUAGUUGUGGGGUCCAUUCCACGGAUUCCGUGACGCAGCUAACGCAUUAAGUUCCCCGCCUGGGGAGUACGGCCGCAAGGCUAAAACUCAAAGGAAUUGACGGGGACCCGCACAAGCGGCGGAGCAUGCGGAUUAAUUCGAUGCAACGCGAAGAACCUUACCAAGGCUUGACAUAUACGAGAACGGGCCAGAAAUGGUCAACUCUUUGGACACUCGUAAACAGGUGGUGCAUGGUUGUCGUCAGCUCGUGUCGUGAGAUGUUGGGUUAAGUCCCGCAACGAGCGCAACCCUCGUUCUAUGUUGCCAGCACGUAAUGGUGGGAACUCAUGGGAUACUGCCGGGGUCAACUCGGAGGAAGGUGGGGAUGACGUCAAAUCAUCAUGCCCCUUAUGUCUUGGGCUUCACGCAUGCUACAAUGGCCGGUACAAAGGGCUGCAAUACCGUGAGGUGGAGCGAAUCCCAAAAAGCCGGUCCCAGUUCGGAUUGAGGUCUGCAACUCGACCUCAUGAAGUCGGAGUCGCUAGUAAUCGCAGAUCAGCAACGCUGCGGUGAAUACGUUCCCGGGUCUUGUACACACCGCCCGUCAAGUCAUGAAA
rnacentral:rRNA from 1 species